UUUUUGGUGGAUCUGAUGUGGAGGGAAGAGUGGACGUUUUGGGGAAAAUGGGUCGAAGAAUUCGAAUGGAAAUCAGACGAUUCGGAAAGCGGCUCCAGUGGAAAACAAGUUGGUGUGUAGUUUGGAGGAGCUUUACAAGGGUUCUCGAAAGAAUGUUAAGAUUUCGAGAAUUGUUCCUGAUGAUUCUGGUAUUAUCCAAGUCUCAAUCGCUCAAGAUGUUGCACGAAAGGCAUUUAGUGUUUUCUGCAGAUGAAGACCCUGAAUUCGACUCGGCCUACUUAGUGUCCAUUCUGUAAAACCAUGAACUAUGCGGUGGAGUAUCGUGGGGUGAAAACAAAGGAGGAAAAGGGGAUCGAGCAAAUUGAAGAACAAAGGGUUAUAGAAGCAAAAAUUAGGAUGCGGCAACAGGAACUUUAGGAUGAAGAACUGAGAAUGCUGACAAGGCAAGAAAUAAGUUCUUCAAGCAGAUCAAUGUUACCAGGAGAGGUUGGAUAUAGCACAGGGGAAGUGGACGAGGAAAUUGUUUCUUCUCAAAUACCACUAAGACAAUCUCUACGGCCUAGGCAGAACAGAGGUUUUUUGCCAGGCCGACCAAUUUAUUAGCUGGACGGCUAAUUAAUUGGCUGGCUAGCUCACUUUAACUUCUUCUAUGAUAGAAUAAAGCAGUCUUCUGAUGAUGAGUAGAACAGUUUCUAGAGAUCUCCGAGGCAUAUGAAGUUAAUGUUUUUCUUUUAAUUUGAGAGAGUUGUGAGGUUUUCAUUUGUUGUAAUAUUUUCUACCUUUCCCCCCUUAUUCAGAUAUGUAAUUAUUCAAGUGUUGUAAUAGUUUCCUGCCACGCUUCUUUUCUAUCAUGUUCUUUUA